rnacentral:rRNA from 1 species
GACGAACGCUGGCGGCGUGCCUAAUACAUGCAAGUAGAACGCUGAAGAGAGGAGCUUCCUCUUCUUGGAUGAGUUGCGAACGGGUGAGUAACGCGUAGGUAACCUGCCUGGUAGCGGGGGAUAACUAUUGGAAACGAUAGCUAAUACCGCAUAACAAUGGAUGACACAUGUCAUUUAUUUGAAAGGGGCAAUUGCUCAACUACAAGAUGGACCUGCGUUGUAUUAGCUAGUAGGUGAGGUAAUGGCUCACCUAGGCGACGAUACAUAGCCGACCUGAGAGGGUGAUCGGCCACACUGGGACUGAGACACGGCCCAGACUCCUACGGGAGGCAGCAGUAGGGAAUCUUCGGCAAUGGGGGCAACCCUGACCGAGCAACGCCGCGUGAGUGAAGAAGGUUUUCGGAUCGUAAAGCUCUGUUGUAAGUCAAGAACGGGUGUGAGAGUGGAAAGUUCACACUGUGACGGUAGCUUACCAGAAAGGGACGGCUAACUACGUG